UAAGUCAGAACCGUGCUAGAAACGAUGAUGUUGGUCCCGCACAUAUUAGCUGUGUUAAAAUAGAGCUUUGCUCGUGAACCAAAUCAGACAGACGUGGAUGCUGCAGUGGAAAUCUGUGGUGUCUAGUUUGUGAAUUGUAAUUACCAUAUGGGCGGGGGUGAAUCCUUUGCAGACGACUUGAAUGGGAACGGGGUACUGUAAGCAGUAGAGUAGCCUUGUUGCUACGAUCUGCUGAGGUUAAGCCCUUGUUCUAAAGAUUGU
rnacentral:rRNA from 1 species